rnacentral:rRNA from 1 species
AGUGAACGCUGGCGGUAGGCCUAGCACAUGCAAGUCGAACGGCAGCACAGUAAGAGCUUGCUCUUACGGGUGGCGAGUGGCGGACGGGUGAGGAAUACAUCGGAAUCUACUUUUUCGUGGGGGAUAACGUAGGGAAACUUACGCUAAUACCGCAUACGACCUACGGGUGAAAGCAGGGGAUCUUCGGACCUUGCGCGAUUGAUUGAGCCGAUGUCGGAUUAGCUAGUUGGCGGGGUAAAGGCCCACCAAGGCGACGAUCCGUAGCUGGUCUGAGAGGAUGAUCAGCCACACUGGAACUGAGACACGGUCCAGACUCCUACGGGAGGCAGCAGUGGGGAAUAUUGGACAAUGGGCGCAAGCCUGAUCCAGCCAUACCGCGUGGGUGAAGAAGGCCUUCGGGUUGUAAAGCCCUUUUGUCGGGAAAGAAAAGCAGCAGGUUAAUACCCCGCUGUUCUGACGGUACCCAAAGAAUAAGCACCGGCUAACUUCGUG